rnacentral:rRNA from 1 species
CCUCUAGAUGUUCUGGGCCGCACGCGCGCUACACUGAACAGUUCAACAAGUCUUAACCUUGGCCGAUAGGUCUGGGUAAUCUUUGAACGCUGUUCGUGAUUGGGAUAGACCUUUGCAAUUAUGGGUCUUCAACGAGGAAUUCCUAGUAAACGCAAGUCAUCAGCUUGCAUUGAUUACGUCCCUGCCCUUUGUACACACCGCCCGUCGCACCUACCGAUUGAAUGGUCCGGUGAAAUCUCGGGACGGCGGCUUGGUCGCUUGCGUCCGACUGCUGAAACUUGAUUAAACCAUAUCAUUUAGAGGAAGGUGAAGUCGUAACA